rnacentral:rRNA from 1 species
GGGCGGGUGCCUUACCUGCAAGUCGAACGCGAAAGCGGGGGCAACCCUGUGAGUAAAGUGGCGAACGGGUGAGUAAUGCAUCGGAACGUGUCCAGUAGCGGGGGAUAACCUCUCGAAAGAGGGACUAAUACCGCAUACGACCUACGGGUGAAAGCAGGGGAUCGCAAGACCUUGCACUAUUGGAGCGGCCGAUGUCGGAUUAGCUAGUUGGUGGGGUAAAGGCUUACCAAGGCGACGAUCCGUAGCUGGUCUGAGAGGACGACCAGCCACACUGGAACUGAGACACGGUCCAGACUCCUACGGGAGGCAGCAGUGGGGAAUUUUGGACAAUGGGGGCAACCCUGAUCCAGCCAUGCCGCGUGGGUGAAGAAGGCCUUCGGGUUGUAAAGCCCUUUCGGUGGGGACGAAACGGUGCGUGCUAACACCACGCACUACUGACGGUACCCACAGAAGAAGCGCCGGCUAACUACGUGCCAGCAGCCGCGGUAAUACGUAGGGUGCAGGCGUUAAUCGGAAUUACUGGGCGUAAAGCGUGCGCAGGCGGUUUGCUAAGACAGGUGUGAAAUCCCCGAGCUUAACUUGGGAACUGCGCUUGUAACUGGCAAGCUAGAGUGUGGCAGAGGGGGGUGGAAUUCCACGUGUAGCAGUGAAAUGCGUAGAGAUGUGGAGGAACACCGAUGGCGAAGCAGCCCCCUGGGCUAACACUGACGCUCAUGCACGAAAGCGUGGGGAGCAAACAGGAUUAGAUACCCUGGUAGUCCACGCCCUAAACUAUGUCAACUGGUU